CUCAGCCCUCGGGAGGCGAAGGACCCCGAGUAGCUGUUACAGGCUAGUUUUAAAGGCAAAAACCACAAAGCAGGUGGGGUUGCUUAUCACUGGAAUCCAUAUGGAUAUUAGGACAUCUGGCCUGGGGGAACUUCUUGUGAGGACAUCUGAUAUCUGUAAAUUUGUAUGUAACUAUUCUGGGAAUUAGGUGGAACUCUUGAGGUUAGCAGUUCCAAGAACUGGGAGAAGCCUCUGGGGUCAGAAGUUUAGGUUUUACAGUUUCUCACUUUAUCUAGCUCACUCCAGGUAAAAUCAGACAGUUCACGCCUCCUCCUACUGAAAUACCUCCAUGGUCUCACUGCCUCCUCCACCCCACCUGUCUCAU